CUCAAAUUUUACAAGCGUGGUCAGCCUACAUGCCAUUUGAGUCGGCAGCCAUGUUUUAAAUAGUCUAUUCCUUUGUUCGUCAUUUAGGCUGUAUUUGUCUAAAUUAGACUCAAACAUUUCAGCAUUAGUAAAUGCAUCCACUGACAUGUCAUAAACUGGAAUACAUUUCACAAUUUUCAGUAAUUGUUCAUGGAUUUUCAGAUUAAGUUUUGCAGUUCUG